AACCAUAGAAACCUGCGGAGUACCUGCGGCGGGAUCAUUACAGAGUUGCAAAACUCCCUAAACCAUUGUGAACGUUACCUAAACCGUUGCUUCGGCGGGCGGCCCGGGUCCUUCCCGGCGCCCCUCGGCCCUCGCGGGCGCCCGCCGGAGGUAAACCAAACUAUUGCAUUGUAUGGCCUCUCUGAGUCUUCUGUACUGAAUAAGUCAAAACUUUCAGCAACGGAUCUCAGAUCGGAAGAG
rnacentral:misc_RNA from 1 species